UUCCUUCAUCACUCUCGGCUGAAACCUUCAACCAUACACCUGCUUUCAAAAUUUCAACUCAUUUUCUUGAAGAUCAUGACGAUUUCAAGCUAGUUUUGAUUCGGUUUGAAGAUCUAAAGGUGAUUCCAAGGCGAUUUCAAAGAGGAACAACCUCAUUAUCAUCAAAAAUCUCAUCAUAAUUCCACUUUCGUACUUUAAAGCAUGGUUCUCGAAUACGUACAUGAAUUCGGCUUCGAGGAUUUUGGCUUAUGUCGUCAUGUGGUUGGUGAUGCUUGUUGUAAUUAAAUAAUUAAGUUUGGACACUUUAAAAAACUGUCAUGGUGUGACAACUGGCACUUUUCCAUGUAUUCCGUACAAUAAUGAACAGUAAAUUGUACUUUGAUGACUGUGCAUGAUUGAAUUAACAAGACGAAUGAUU
rnacentral:lncRNA from 1 species